rnacentral:rRNA from 1 species
AGAGUUUGACCCUGGCUCAGGAUGAACGCUGGCGGCGUGCCUAACACAUGCAAGUCGAGCGAAGCGCUUGAAUACGAUUCUUCGGAUGAAGAUUCUUGUGACUGAGCGGCGGACGGGUGAGUAACGCGUGGGCAACCUGCCUUACACAGGGGGAUAACAGUUAGAAAUGACUGCUAAUACCGCAUAAGACCACGAAACUGCACGGUUUUGUGGUAAAAACUCCGGUGGUGUAAGAUGGGCCCGCGUCUGAUUAGGUAGUUGGCGGGGUAACGGCCCACCAAGCCGACGAUCAGUAGCCGACCUGAGAGGGUGACCGGCCACAUUGGGACUGAGACACGGCCCAGACUCCUACGGGAGGCAGCAGUGGGGAAUAUUGCACAAUGGGGGAAACCCUGAUGCAGCGACGCCGCGUGAGCGAUGAAGUAUUUCGGUAUGUAAAGCUCUAUCAGCAGGGAAGAAAAUGACGGUACCUGACUAAGAAGCCCCGGCUAACUACGUGCCAGCAGCCGCGGUAAUACGUAGGGGGCAAGCGUUAUCCGGAUUUACUGGGUGUAAAGGGAGCGUAGACGGCUUUGCAAGCCAGAUGUGAAAGCCCGGGGCUCAACCCCGGGACUGCAUUUGGAACUGUGUGGCUAGAGUGUCGGAGGGGCAGGCGGAAUUCCUAGUGUAGCGGUGAAAUGCGUAGAUAUUAGGAGGAACACCAGUGGCGAAGGCGGCCUGCUGGACGAUGACUGACGUUGAGGCUCGAAAGCGUGGGGAGCAAACAGGAUUAGAUACCCUGGUAGUCCACGCCGUAAACGAUGACUUCUAGGUGUUGGGUGGCAAAGUCACUCGGUGCCGCAGCCGACGCAAUAAGUAGUACCAUCUUCGGAGGGCGUUAGCAUGAAUGAAACUCAAAGGAAUGGGCGGGGACCCGCACUAGCGGCGGAGCAUGGGCUUUAAUUUGAAGCGAUGUGUCGAGCGUUACCUCAUCUUUACAUCCCCAUGACAGCUCCGUCACGGGAGCGUUCCUACGGGACUGGGGAGACAGGUGGGGCAGGGUGGUGGUCAUCUGGGGUCGUGGGAGGGGGGGUGAAGUCCCGCAACGAGCGCCAUCUUUCUGUUUAGUAGCCAGCACGUUAGAUGGGCAGUCUAGAGAGGUUGUCAGGGAUGACAUGGAGGAAGGUGGGGAUGACGAUCAUAAUCAUGCGUGCCGCUCUAUGACUCAGGCCCCCCCGCGUGCUCCAAUGGUGUAUACAAAGGGAAGCGACCACGGGAGUGUAAGCGAAUCCCAAAAAUACCCUCUCAGUUCGGAUGGUCGUGUGCAACUCGACUACAUGAAGCGGGAAUCGCUAGUAAUCGAGAAUCAGAACGUCGCGGGGAAUACGUUCGCGGGUCUUGCACUCGCCGCCCGUCA